rnacentral:rRNA from 1 species
CUUUAAAAAUCCACGGUAGUAAAAACCAAUUAAACCCCUAAAACUUGGCGGUUAUAAUUUUUUAAAGAAACUUGUUUUAUAAUCGACAAUACUCGCUAAUUUUUACUUCAUUUUACAUAAUUUAUAUACCGCCGUUAAUUUAAAGAAAUAAUAAACAAACAAAUCUCCAAAUCGAAAAUUCACAAAAAUCAGGUCAAGGUGUAAUACACAAAAAAAGAAAAAAUAAGUUACAUAUAAAUACAAUUUAAGGAAUUUUAAUUAAAAUAAUAAAGAAAAAGAAUUUAUAAAUAAUUUUAUUAAACUAAAAAUUAAAAAAGAAACACUAAAUUAUAAUGC